GACGAACGCUGGCGGCGUGCCUAAUACAUGCAAGUAGAACGCAGUUGCGAACGGGUGAGUAACGCGUAGGUAACUGCCUCAUAGCGGGGGGUAACUAUUGGAAACGAUAGCUAAUACCGCAUAUUGUGAGCUGGAACUGCGUUGGGUUAGGUAGUUGGUGGGGUAAAGACUCACCAAGGCGACGAUACAUAGCCGGUCUGAGAGGGUGAACGGCCAAACUGGGACUGAGACACGGCCCAGACUCCUACGGGAGGCAGCAGUGGGGAAUCUUCGGCAAUGGACGGAAGUCUGACGGAGCAACGCCGCGUGAGUGAAGAAGGUUUUCGGGUUGUAAAGCUCUGUUGUUAGGGAAGCGGUACCUAAACAGAAAGGCACGGCUAACUACGUGCCAGCAGCCGCGGUAAUUC
rnacentral:rRNA from 1 species